CAAAAAAAUUCGCGGCGACUCUUCAUUAUGCCUCCCCGCACCUCACACCCUCAUCGCAUCCAACCAAUCCCGAUCUCAGGCAAAACCUAGAUGUGCCGUCGUCAUCGAGAGAGAGCAGUCUCCUAGGUCAUGCCCACCUCCAAGAUCCCACCCCUAUCGCCCUCUCUCCUCUCACGGCCCUAGUGUCGCAUCUCUUCCUGACCGAUAGUGCCGGUGGUCUGCCCAUCUAGCAGUGGUCGGCGUCAAUCCCUUUAUCAUCGCCGAGCAUGCACGCGGCGCCCUCGGCGAUGCCCCCGCCGCAGUCACCGAGAUGGAUCCCACGCCAGGGUUCCAGGUUCUGUUGGUGAGGGCCGAACUUCACCGCCGUGUCAGUGAUGGCAGCGAACCAGUCUUGUGACAUCUUCCUAGGAGUGCUCCAAAUCUCCCAACUGCUUCGCUUGUUGGCUGACUCCUCGUCCUCCACCUCAACAGCCAGAUACAGGCAAGCAAGCAGCAAGACGGCCUCAAAGCUUCAAUCUCUGUUGCUGGUCCCUUCGCCAUCUGAUCAACCAAACACCUAUUGUCUUCCGCCUCCUGGACGACCUGAUAGGGGCUGCAACGAGGCUCCAGAGUCUCCACCAAUUUUGCUCCUCUUCGUCCUUGCUGAAUGAUGCUUCAUCGCAUAUCAUUUUUGGUGCUAGAAUUUGUGGUUGUUCCAUAGUCGAUCAAGCCAUGUAUCAGUGCUUAGGUAAUCUUUGUACUGAUAUAUCGAGAAAGCAUCGUGCUUUGCCUAUUCACUUCUAUACAAGCUAAUCUGUAAUUGGCAGUGGUUACUGAAUAUUUUUAUCCCUGUUAGUCAAAGCUAAUAUAAUGUGACUUGCCAACUUUCUGCUGAAUGUAUUGUUGAAAAACAAAUCCAAGGGAAUUAUUAUUUGGCAUCAAAUUAAGGAAUGUCCUGCAUGAA